AACGAACGCUGGCGGCAGGCCUAACACAUGCAAGUCGAACGCUCCGCAAGGGGAGUGGCGCGCGGGUGAGUAACACGUGGGAACCUACCUUCUGGUACGGAACAACCAAGGGAAACUUUGGCUAAGACCGUAUACGACCUCCGGGUGAAAGAUUGAUCGCCGGAAGAGGGGCCCGCGUCCGAUUAGGUAGUUGGUGAGGUAACGGCUCACCAAGCCUUCGAUCGGUAGCUGGUCUGAGAGGAUGACCAGCCACACUGGGACUGAGACACGGCCCAGACUCCUACGGGAGGCAGCAGUGGGGAAUAUUGGACAAUGGGCGCAAGCCUGAUCCAGCCAUGCCGCGUGAGUGA
rnacentral:rRNA from 1 species